rnacentral:lncRNA from 1 species
CUCUUCUACGUGGGCUGUCCUUCUUGGUUGCUGGGCUCUAUUACUGGGCCGUCUCUUUUCUAUUUGGGCCAUCUUUGCUGGCUUACUUAUUGGGCCGGUCAUAGUCCAUUCUCUUGGGCCGGUUUUGUUAAGUUUGCUGGGCUUCUCUAUUCUGUUUUGUUGGGCCUUCUCUGGACAGUUUAGUUUGGGCUCAAUUAUUAUUCCUUGGGCCGUGUUUUGCUGGACUUCUGGAUUUCUCUCUUUUGGGCCAGUUUGUGCCUUUUCCUGUUUGACGUCAAUUUUUAUUGCUGGGUGAUUAUUUCUGCCUUUGAUUAUUUUGUGUCUUUGGGUGUUUCUGCCGGAUUGCUGGAGUUCAUUUUGGACUAUUGCUUCCUGGGUUUGUUCAUUUCUUUCUGGUGGACCGUCCACUCUCCCUUUUUGACGUCUACUCCAGGUUGGUUGGGUGAUUAUUUUCUGUCUUUGCUGGAAUCUUAUUUUCUGCCUUUGACGUCAAUUUCAUUUGGCCGGGUUUACAUUCUGGUGGGUUAUUUUUGGAUGUAAAUUUUUCUGCCGGUUUGCUAGGAUAAAUUUUUCUGCCUUUGGUUGGUUUAUUUGGUUGAACCUUUCUUGCUGGAUGGGUCAUUUUUGGCCUGUUUUGGCACUUUGUUCCUUGCCGAUCCCCUUGGGCAGUUUUGUGUGGAUUUUAUCUUCUUCGUAUCAUGGGUAAGAUCAAGGUUAAAAGUGGACGUCCCUCCCUUAUUAUUAAACCUGGUUGAUUGUCUCUUGUUGAGGACAUUGUUGUUGCAUCCCCAUCGAAAGUUUUAUCGGGGGAGAAUAAGGUGACAAAUUUGCCUUCACCGAGCGUUUCUUUAACUCUUGGUGAGGAGGAUACGGAAUCUGACCAAUCUGAUUUUGAAUCAAAUUCGGUUAAAGUAAUGAAUAAUAAUGCUGAAAAUGUGAAUAGCGUUGAUGGAGGUAUCGAGAAAAAAAACCCCCAUGGGUCAACCUUUUCAAGGAUAACCGCAAAAUUGAGGAAAAUAUCAAGUUGAAAACCUUCCAUAAUCAAUCGAACGAGGUUGUGUUGGGGGAAUGUGAUGAAAAUGAUAUUGAAAAUGCAUGGGGAUAUGGUUUAGUUGGAUACUUUGCCGGUAGGUUUCCGGGGAAACUCGCGUUACUCAAAUUAUGUGAUCCUUGAUUUGGUGUCUCUUGGUUGGAGUAAAGUUUUUGUUGGCACCAAGCAAUUUUCUCUUUGCAAGAAACUUCAUAGCCUCAAAGGAUUGCUUAAGAAGAUGAAUGACAAACAUUUCGCUCACAUUUCCUCUAGAGCCGCAUGUGCUUCCAAUAGACUCGAUUUGGCUCAUGUUGAAUUGCACAAUGACCGAGAAAAUCUUCUCCUUAAAUCUGAAGUUGUUCGUUUGAGAAAAGAGGCAAACACUCUUUGUGAAGCGGAAAGGAGUUUCUAUUAUCAAAAAGCAAAGUGUGUGCAUUUGAAGAAUAGUGACAAAUGUAACAAGUAUUUUCAUUCUUUGGCCAAGAGGAAUAUCAAGAGGAAUUUCAUCCCGGCUAUACUUAAGAGAGACGAGUUUUAUUCUACUUCUCUUGAGGAGGUAGGAACCGAAUUCACACACUUCUAUAGUGAAUUAUUGGGGAGAAAAACUGUUGGACAGCAUGCUAGUGUGGAUGUUCUAAGAAACGGACCGUUGUUGUCAGAGGAGAAUGCUUCUUUACUUGUUCGGGACAUUACGAGGCAAGAGAUCAAAGAAGCUCUUUUUAGCAUUAGGGAUGAUAAAGCCCCGGGGCCGGAUGGAUUUACUUCUUGUUUCUUCGAAAAAUCAUGGGACAUUGUUGGUAAUGAUUUUAUGGAUGCUAUUGAGGAAUUCUUUCUUUCGAGUUCUCUUCUCAAGCAAAUUAAUCACACCAUUUUAGCCUUGGUACCUAAGGGUACUCACUCUUCUUCGGUGGGGGAUUAUAGGCCUAUUGCAUGUUGCAACGUUUUUUACAAGGUAAUCACUAAGAUACUUGCCUCCCGGUUGAAGCCUAUGCUUGACUCUAUUGUGGACCAAGCUCAAUCUACAUUUGUUGAGGGUCGGAGUAUGAUUGAAAAUAUUCACUUGGCAUAAGAACUUUUGAGACAAUAUAACCGUAAGAGGGUUGCUCCACGGUGCCUUCUCAAAAUUGACCUUACUAAGGCCUUUGAUUCGGUGAAUUGGGAGUUUCUUGAAGAAGUUCUUGAAGGGUUGGGGUUUCCCAAUAUCUUUGUUGAUUGGAUUAUGGAAUGUGUGACUUCUCCAUCUUAUUCCAUAGCGAUAAAUGGUGGCCUUCAUGGUUUUUUCAAGGGCAAAAGAGGUCUUCGACAAGGUGAUCCUCUAUCCCCUUACUUGUUUAUUUUUUGCCUUGAAUACGUAUCUAGAUUGCUAAAGGUGGCUACUUCGAAUAGUAAUUUCAACUAUCACCCCAAGUGUGCUCAAUUGAAGAUCAUACACUUGGCUUUUGCGGAUGACUUGAUGUUAUUUGCUAGAGGGGAUGUCAUGUCUUUGGAUAUUUUAUUGAAUUGCCUUUCGGAUUUUGGAGGCAUGUUGGAAUUGAAUAUAAAUGUUGGGAAAUCUUGCAUCUACACUGCGGGUAUUCAUGGUAAAGAUUUGGAGGAUAUUCUUGCUCUCACAAAUCUCCUCAUUGGCUCCAUGCCGUUUAGGUACUUAGGUGUACCACUUGCGGCGAAAAAAUUGAAAGUUGGGUCUUAUGAUAUGCUCACAAAUAAAAUCUCAUCUUAUAUUAGUUCUUGGUCGACUUCCUCUCUAUCAUAUGCAAGUAGGAUCGAGUUUGUGCGAGUCGUGCUUCAAGGUGUGGAAUGUUUUUGGCUUUCUAUCCUCCUUAUCCCGGCUACGGUAAUUUCUAAAAUCAAUAGUCUUUAUCGUAGUUUCCUUUAGGGAGGGGGGUAAGAAACAUUUGGUUGCUUGGAACGCUAUUUGCCUCCCAAAGGUUGAGGGGGGACUCGAUUUUAGGGACUUGAAAUGUUGGAAUUUAGCACUCCUUUCAAAAAUUCUUUGGAAUAUCCAUUGCAAGAAAAACUCACUUUGGAUUAAAUGGAUAAAUGGAGUCUACCUUCAAGGAACAGAUUUUUGGGUGUAUUGCGUGAAGAAACAAGAUUCCCCACUCAUUAAGAAGCUGGUUGACAUCCGGGACAGCAUUAUUGCUGCCCAAGGGGACAGUUUUUCAGCAAUGGACAGAUUGUGUAGCUGGACAGAAUGUGGGCGUUUCUCUACUUCAGCAGCUUAUGACUUCUUCAGGCCGAAGGGGGGUUUUCUUCUCUGGUCCAGAACGGUUUGGGAUGGUUCCAUCACCCCCAAACACGCGUUUAUUUUAUGGUUAGCUGCCCAUUCAAAGCUCCAGACGAGGGACAAGCUAUUGCACUUGGAAAUGGACCGAAUCUGCCCACUUUGUGAGGUACUGGAUGAAUCUAUCCAGCACUUGUUCUUUAGAUGCCGGGUCACUUCCGAGGUAUGGAAACAGAUCAGAUUUUGGUUAGGUAUUAGGUGCUCCAUGUCUACUUUACCGAGCACUUUUAAAUGGUUGAAAAAAGAAGCGCGGAGGAAGAGUUGGUCGAGCCGUGUUAAACGGAUUGCUUUUGCUACUACCGUCUACUACAUUUGGAUGGCUAGGAAUUGUUGUAUUUUUGAUGGUACGAAAGUGCAAGUUGAAUCCAUUGUUAGGAAAAUCAAAACACACGUAUACAAAGCAAUGUUCGUUUUGUAUCCGAAUGUUUUGAUUCUCUAUGAUUCUCUUGCUAAUGGUGUUUAUUAGUAUUUUGAUCUUUGAUCUUUUUUGUAUGUUUUUGGACAUUGAUUUGCCUGGGAAUGCCCGGAGUACUUGUAUUUGAUUAUGGACAUUGUCUUACCUGGGUAUGCCCGGUGUACUUG